AUUCAAUGUUGAAAUAUUUGAAACCCCAUGUUCCUGAUGUAGUUCUAGGUCGCAAACUUUCCAGGAUUUAAAAUUAAAUGUUUAAAGGAGUUUAGUGGAUUUGAUGUGGUUGCUCUACAUAUUGGUUCUAUUGAUUGCUUGUGAAUUGUAGAGCCAAUAUAACAGUAUGAAAGAUUAGGAAAUUUUGUUGAACAAUCCUAGAAGGGUCUGUUCUUUCUGAGGAGAGUUGCAGAGCCAAAUUUACAAGCAUUGACUUAGCCUAGUGGUGAAAGCUGGAACAGCCUGUCAUCAUUAAACAUCUUGUCUGUCCUAGGUGAUGAAAGUUUGUUCAAUCAGCUGUAUAUUCAAAUCCGGUUAAUUUCUGAAAGAGGAGCCUGUUUAAAACUUCAGUGUUACCUUUUGAAGGACAACAGUGUUUUAGAAUGUAUUUGUAUGUCAUGUAUAUAAUAAAACUAUUGUGCUUGGUUUUUGUUCAA